rnacentral:rRNA from 1 species
UUCCGGUUGAUCCCGCCGGAGGCUACCGCUAUUGGAGUUCGAUUAAGCCAUGCGAGUCGCGAGUCUUAGGGACUCGGCGUACCGCUCAGUAACACGUGGGUAACCUGCCCUAUGCUGGGGGAUAACCUCGGGAAACUGAGAAUAAUACCCCAUAGUUCACCACGCCUGGAACGGUGGGUGGAUGAAAGCUCCGGCGGCAUAGGAUGGGCCUGCGGCGUAUCAGGUUGUAGGGGGUGUAAUGUACCCUCUAGCCAUCUACGCGUACGGGUGUUGGGAGACAUCGCCCGGAGAUGGAUUCUGAGACACGAAUCCAGACCCUACGGGGUGCAGCAGGCGCGAAAACUUGACAAUGCGAGCAAUCGUGACCAGGGAACUCCAAGUGCAUCGGGUAAGACCGAUGCUUUUCUUGACUCUUCAAAGGUCUUGGAAUAAGGGGUGGGUAAGGACGGUGCCAGCCGCCGCGGUAAUACCGGCGCCUCAAGUGGUAGUCGCUUUUAUUGGGCCUAAAACGUCCGUAGCCGGUUUGGUACAUUCGUGGGUAAAUCAAGGCGCUCAACGUCUUGAAUUCUGCGAGCACGGCCAGACUUGGGACCGGGUGAGGUGUGGGGUACUCUCAGGGUAGGGGUAAAAUCCUGUCAUCCUGAGAGGACCACCUGUUGCGAAGGCGCCACACUAGAACGGAUCCGACGGUCAGGGACGAAGCCUAGGGGCACGAACCGGAUUAGAUACCCGGGUAGUCCUAGGUGUAAACGCUGUGGACUUGAUGUUGGGAGUGCUCCGAGCACCCUCAGUGUCGAAGCGAAGGUGAUAAGUCCACUGCCUGGGGAGUACGGUCGCAAGGCUGAAACUUAAAGGAAUUGGCGGGGGAGCACUGCAACCUGAGGAUUGUGCGGUUUAAUUGGAUUCAACGCCGGA